UACGGCCACAUAACGUUGAAACACCUGCUCCCGUACGAUCACUGAAGUUAAGCAACGUCGAGCUUGGUAAGUACUUAGAGGGAUAACUGAUUGCGAAUAACAGGCGCUGUAAG